rnacentral:rRNA from 1 species
UGGGGAAUCUUGCGCAAUGGGCGAAAGCCUGACGCAGCGACGCCGCGUGUGGGAUGAAGGUCUUCGGAUUGUAAACCACUGUCGGGAGGGACGAAGCUCUGACGGUACCUCCAAAGGAAGCACCGGCUAACUCUGUGCCAGCAGCCGCGGUAAUACAGAGGGUGCGAGCGUUGUCCGGAAUCACUGGGCGUAAAGGGCGCGUAGGCGGCCUGGUAAGUAGGGGGUGAAAUCUCAUGGCUCAACUGUGAGGCUGCCUUCUAGACUGCUGGGCUUGAGCACGGUAGAGGCUGGUGGAAUUCCCGGUGUAGCGGUGGAAUGCGUAGAGAUCGGGAGGAACAUCGGUGGCGAAGGCGGCCAGCUGGGCCGUUGCUGACGCUGAGGCGCGAAAGCGUGGGGAGCAAACAGGAUUAGAUACCCGAGUAGUCCCUGAGCGGGCUGGCAAGGCGCAU